GGCGAAGCGACUGACUGACUAUACUGACACUGAGUGCGAAGCGUGGGGAGCAAACAGGAUUAGAUACCUGGUAGUCACGCCGUAAACGAUGUCAACUAGCCGUUGGAACCCUUGAGGUUUUAGUGGCGCAGCUAACGCAUUAAGUUGACCGCUGGGGAGUACGGUCGCAAGAUUAAAACUCAAAUGAAUUGACGGGGGCCCGCACAAGCGGUGGAGCAUGUGGUUUAAUUCGACGCAACGCGAAGAACCUUACCUGGCCUUGACAUGUCCGGAAUCCUGCAGAGAUGCGGGAGUGCCUUCGGGAAUCGGAACACAGGUGCUGCAUGGCUGUCGUCAGCUCGUGUCGCGAGAUGUUGGGUUAAGUCCCGUAACGAGCGCAACCCUUAUCCUUAGUUACCAGCACGUAAUGGUGGGCACUUUAAGGAGACUGCCGGUGACAAACCGGAGGAAGGUGGGGAUGACGUCAAGUCAUCAUGGCCCUUACGGCCAGGGCUACACACGUGCUACAAUGGUUGGUACAGAGGGUCGCCAAACUGCAAAGUGGAGCUAAUCUCUUAAAACCAAUCGUAGUCCGGAUUGAAGUCUGCAACUCGACUUCAUGAAGUCGGAAUCGCUAGUAAUCGCGAAUCAGAACGUCGCGGUGAAUACGUUCCCGGGCCUUGUACACACCGCCCGUCACACCAUGGGAGUGGGUUGCUCCAGAAGUAGCUAGGCUAACCUUAGGGGGGCCGGUUACCACGGAGUGAUUCAUGACUGGGGUGAAGUCGUAACAAGGUAACCA
rnacentral:rRNA from 1 species